UUCCCGGAUGUAGCUCAGCGGUUCUUUCGACUAAGGCAUCAGCUUCUAACCACGCGAGGUGGUUCGAGACCCGGGGGCGUUCUCCAGUUUU
rnacentral:vault_RNA from 9 species